GAUGAACGCUGGCGGCGUGCCUAACACAUGCAAGUCGAACGAAGCGCCUUACCGUAUUCUUCGGAUGAAGGUCUGGUGCCUGAGUGUCGGACGGGUGAGUAACGCGUGUGUAACCUGCCCUGUACAGGGGGAUAACAGCUGGAAACGGCUGCUAAUACCGCAUACGCGCACGAGGAGACAUCUCCUUGUGUGAAAAACUCCGGUGGUACAGGAUGGGCCCGCGUCUGAUUAGCUGGUUGGCAGGGUAACGGCCUACCAAGGCAACGAUCAGUAGCCGGUCUGAGAGGAUGAACGGCUACAUUGGAACUGCGACACGGUCCAAACUCCUACGGGAGGCAGCAGUGGGGAAUAUUGCACAAUGGGGGAAACCGUGAUGCAGCAACGCCGCGUGAGUGAAGAAGUAUUUCGGUAUGUAAAGCUCUAUCAGCAGGGAAGAUAAUGACGGUACCUGACUAAGAAGCUCCGGCUAAAUACGUG
rnacentral:rRNA from 1 species